CCCCCCAAUCUCCCUUUCAUUUUCCUGCUGUCUUACAUGGAGAGAAAGUUCCAGUAAAGCAGCUAAUGAAUCCAGUGUUGUUAGAUUUCUUCUUAUAAAUGAUCAGCGUGGCUUACUACGUUAGAAACUGGUUGCAUUUUACGAAAGGAAGUGAAGUAUUUGCCUACAGCAGAUCUCACGGCGCAGGCUAGGAAGAAAGGGAGACUGAGCGAGCCAGAGGCAUGAAGGGUCCACAGGUGGGCACUCCAGGUCGGCAGACGGUCCAGGGCAAGUCACAGACACCGAGGAAGUGCGUCCGACUUCGGCAGAUAGCCAUGCCGGAAGGGAACCAGGCUUGGGGGGCGGGGCGGCGCGGCGCGGCGGCGGGGGUGUCUGGCAGCCCACUUGCAGAGGCAGCUAGCUGCUCAGGGCAUGUUGGGGCUGACAGGAUGGAUACAGGAAGCUGCCCCCUCCCCCCACCCAGGGGCCCCGAGCAGACGUCCUCCUGCGUUUAACGGACACUGGGGGAUGAACAGAGAGAAAAUCCAAGAGCUCAAAAUGCAGACAGAAGAGAAGCAGAUUUGUACAUGAAGAAGCUGGAACCCAGAAAUGCCAACAGGUGCAGACAAGAAAAGCCUGCUCUUUCCAGCCAAAGGACAAGGAAAGGAACAGCAUAUACGAAGAGAGAAAACUUCUAGAUAGUAACUGCUUUAUUCCAGCUGAACAAUACAGAAAAAAACCAUGGACCAAGUGGGGAGCCCAGAA